GAUGAACGCUGGCGGCGUGCCUAACACAUGCAAGUCGAGCGAUUCUCUUCGGAGAAGAGCGGCGGACGGGUGAGUAACGCGUGGGUAACCUGCCUUGUACACACGGAUAACAUACCGAAAGGUAUGCUAAUACGAGAUAAUAUGCUUUUAUCGCAUGGUAGAAGUAUCAAAGCUCCGGCGGUACGGGAUGGACCCGCGUCUGAUUAGCUAGUUGGUAAGGUAACGGCUUACCAAGGCGACGAUCAGUAGCCGACCUGAGAGGGUGAUCGGCCACAUUGGAACUGAGACACGGUCCAAACUCCUACGGGAGGCAGCAGUGGGGAAUAUUGCACAAUGGGCGAAAGCCUGAUGCAGCAACGCCGCGUGAGCGAUGAAGGCCUUCGGGUCGUAAAGCUCUGUCCUCAAGGAAGAUAAUGACGGUACUUGAGGAGGAAGCCCCGGCUAACUACGUGCCAGCCGCCGCGGUAA
rnacentral:rRNA from 1 species